rnacentral:lncRNA from 1 species
UGCAAAGAGCCUGCUCAAUAAUUUUAACAUUAUCAGUAGUGUUUGCAGGGGCAGUUAGUACUGUAGUGUUUUUCCACUGCUAAUAUUUAAUUUUUUUUUCUGUUCUGCAGCUAUUAAUUAGCAUUUUUCCAUGAGGAAGAGAUGACUGGAUCAUGAUAAAAUUCAACUGGUGGCAACUUGAGCUAUAAAAAAAAAUGGAAAAAUAAAACUAAACAGACAUGUGAACAUCUUGGUCCAUCAUUCUGGGAAUUCAAGGAUGAAACGAAAGCUUGGAAACACUGCUGGGGUGAUUACAUGUGCUCCAUUGCUUGACUAAGAAAGUCCUUCACCCAUAUCCUUUGAAUGCACGUAAGUGUGUUGUCCCCAGAGCGCUUUUCAGACUGUUUUGAGUCACAGCUGAUUGCCAGU